GACUAGCGCUGGCGGUGUGUCUUAGACAUGCAAGUCGAGCGGGGUACAUCGUUGUAGCAAUACAGUGGUGUACUUAGCGGCGAACGGGUGAGUAAUACAAGGGCAGCCAUCCCCAAGGAGGAGCACAACUCGCCGAAAGGCGGGCUAAUUCUCCAUGUGCUGCGGCAGAGGCAUCUCUGCUUCAGGAAAGGCGCCGCAAGGUGCUACCUCGGGACGGGCUCUUGUCCUAUCAGCUUGAUGGCGGGGUAACGGCCCACCAUGGCAAAGACGGGUAGCCGGCGUGAGAGCGUGACCGGCCACAGGGGAACUGAGAUACGGUCCCCACUCCUACGGGAGGCAG
rnacentral:rRNA from 1 species